GCCGGAGUGGUGAAACUGGUAGACGCAGGGGACUCAAAAUCCCCCGGUGGCAACACCGUGUCGGUUCGAGUCCGACCUCCGGCA
rnacentral:tRNA from 1 species